UGCAGAUCUGGUUGAUUCUGCCAGAGGCCACUGCUAUCGGGGUUCGAUUAAGCCAUGCGAGUCGAGAGGUGCAAGACCUCGGCGCACUGCUCAGUAACACGUGGACAACCUACCCUGAGGAGGGGGAUAACCCCGGAAAACUGGGGAUAAUACCCCAUAGACCAGGGAUGCUGGAAUGCUUCCUGGUCCAAAGGUCCGCCGCCUCAGGAUGGGUCUGCGGCCGAUUAGGUUGUUGUUGGGGUAACGGCCCAACAAGCCUUUGAUCGGUACGGGUUGUGGGAGCAAGAGCCCGGAGAUGGAUUCUGAGACACGAAUCCAGGCCCUACGGGGCGCAGCAGGCGCGAAAACUUUACAAUGCGAGAAAUCGUGAUAAGGGAACCCCGAGUGCCCGUAAAUCCGGGCUGUCCAUCAGUGUAAAUAACUGGUGAAGAAAGGGCCGGGCAAGACCGGUGCCAGCCGCCGCGGUAAUACCGGCGGCUCGAGUGGUGGCCGCUAUUACUGGGCUUAAAGCGUUCGUAGCUGGGUUGUUAAGUCUCCUGGGAAAUCCACCGGCUCAACCGAUGGGCGUUCAGGAGAUACUGGCAACCUAGGGACCGGGAGAGGUGAGGGGUACUCCAGGGGUAGGAGUGAAAUCCUGUAAUCCUUGGGGGACCACCUGUGG
rnacentral:rRNA from 1 species